CGUAGGGGGCAAGCGUUGUCCGGAUUUACUGGGUGUAAAGGGCGCGCAGGCGGGAUAGCAAGUCAGAGGUGAAAUCCUACAGCUUAACUGUAGAACUGCCUUUGAUACUGUUAUUCUUGAGUUCGGGAGAGAGAGACGGAAUUCCAGGUGUAGUGGUGAAAUACGUAGAUAUCUGGAAGAACACCAGUUGCGAAGGCGGUCUCUUGGUCCGAUACUGACGCUGAGGCGCGAAAGCGUGGGGAGCAAACAGGA
rnacentral:rRNA from 1 species